UACGGAGGGAGCAAGCGUUACUCGGAAUUAUUGGGCGUAAAGGGCGCGUAGGCGAUUUGAAAAGUCUUGUGUGAAAGCCCCGAGCUUAACUCGGGAAGUGCACAAGAAACUGUUGAAUUUGAGUUCCGGAGAGGAAGGCAGAAUUCCCGGUGUAGCGGUGAAAUGCGUAGAUAUCGGGAGGAAUACCAGUGGCGAAGGCGGCCUUCUGGACGGAUACUGAGCGUUUGAGGCGCGAAAGCCAGGGGAGCAAACGGG
rnacentral:rRNA from 1 species